UGAGCCAGCUGGGGGAGUUCGCAAGAACUGAGACAGGCAAGCCUGAGACCCUUUGAACCUGAUCCGGGUAAAACCGGCGUAGGGAAGCGGCGCGAACUCCGA
rnacentral:ncRNA from 2 species